GGAGCAGUGGCCCGAGGUGCGGGCGCCACGAGCGCGGUGUUCAUGGCCAUCCCGGCGGCCCGGCACUGGUGGGGGCGCCAGCGGCCACGGCUACCCCAGCGCAGGCGGGAUUGUGGGCGCAGCGGCUCUGGCAGCUCCAAUGCCAGACAUGCAGGCACGGGCGAGGACCCCCACCGGCCCCUGCGACCCCGGCGCGGCCGAUGAUGCGGGCGUGGCAGCUCCGGCCACCUUGAAGCUGGCGGCCCGGCGCUGGUGUGAGUGAGACCACCGACCACAACCUCUCCCCCACGUGCCUCCUCACCAGCCCGCCCCGUGCGCCGCCACCUUUCUCUUCGUCCUCCGCCCUGUGCGCCGCCUGCACUCUUCGUCCCUCAACAUCGGGCCACCUCCAAGGUAGCUAUUCUCGCGGGGCGAGGUCGCCGCCGAGCUCCUUGGCGACUUGUGUCACCUCCACGACAGAUGGCCCGCAGGGACCAUACAGCACGUGAAAAGGAUGUUGCACAUCUAGUACUCCACUGCUGAGUGCUGACUGGAUGGGUAUGUUGAACCGGACAGUAAGAAUGUUACAAGCUGGGAUAGAGCCUGUGCAAGUUUCACUUCUCUGUAGUCUUUCUUAAGUUUUUGCGCUUACCUUAUUGUUGCUGACACUGCUAAACUUCUAUGCUAGCUUUGUAUUCGAUAGUGAACCACCUGAAAUAAAGAAAAAGGAGCUUCGAAAAAGGUAUACAUAAAACUUCUUCUUUGCUCCUCUUCACUUAAAUCUCGAUACAAUUAUAGUUGAUAGAUUUCUAGAUCUGUCACGGGUGCCAAGCAGUUGAUGUAUUUCUCAAGUACAAAUACAGUUGUCUUGUUUUAGCACUAACAAUCAGCCAUAGUUCUAAGUUUCUAUUUGUUUUCCAGAAAAGGCAAUUUCUUAAAUAGGUUGUAAAAGUUGGGUUCUGCCAUUUUAUUAUUGCUGCAGUAAGGUUCGUUGUGACUGUUAUUGUACAAUCAAUGGCUCUUAUUGUACAAUGUGCUGUAUAACUCAAUUGCUUGUUUGGUCUAUCUGGUUUCUUGCAAGUGAAGGUCCUGACAAGAAGCAUCUGCAUAAAGUUUGCCUAUUACUAUUGUUUAGAGCUGAAAACUACAAUAAAGGGAAAAAACGGAUGAAGGGAUACAUGGCACCAGACUAUGCCUUGUUUGAAAAUGUUUCACCAAAGGAUCAAUGUUUUUAGUUUUCGUGCCUUGCUCCUGGAGAUAAUAACCAGGAGUAAGAACAGUACCGCUGCUGAUUCAGACAAAGCACUGAAUCUCCAAACUAAUGUAUGGAAUUGUUACACCAAAGGGGUGGCAUUGCAACUGAUUAACGGAUCACUUGAUGGGCACACCAGCAGCAAAGUGAUGCCAUGUAUCCACAUAUGUCUUCUUUGUGUAAAAGAGCAUUCAAAUUACAGGUCAAGCAUAUGUUCUGUUGUUGUGAUGCUAAUCAAAGGCUGGAUAAAGCUCCAGUACCCACGAAAGCAGGCAAAUCCUCUCUGGGACCUUCAUCAUGGUGUAGCAUGAUCAAUUUUCUCCGGCCUUGCCCCUUAGUUCGAUUGAUAUGGGCUUUUCAUUUACAAUAUCUGAUCACCAGGGCAAGUUGCUGGAGGAGGCGAGGCAGGUGACACAGGAGGCUGACACAUCUUUUUUUUCCCCCAGAGCUAGACUUUAUUGCUAGGGCCAGUGGCUAAGCGCCGUGGCAUAUUUCGAAUUUAGGGCGUUGAGAUAUAUGACAACUGCUAAGGGUACAUGCGACCCGUUGUACAUACA